rnacentral:ncRNA from 1 species
GCUUUGAAUGGAUGGAUUAGCAGGGGAGCAGAUCCAUGGAUAUGGACGGAAGCCAACAUAUAUACUAUUUUAAAAAGAGAAAAAUACUAAUAUUCUUUUGAAGAAAAAUAAUCGUUCUUU